rnacentral:rRNA from 1 species
CCUACGGGUGGCAGCAGUGGGGAAUAUUGCGCAAUGGGCGAAAGCCUGACGCAGCGACGCCGCGUGAGGGAUGAAGGUCUUCGGAUCGUAAACCUCUGUCAGCAGGGAAGAACGGUCACUGUGCUAAUCAGCAGUGAAUUGACGGUACCUGCAAAGGAAGCACCGGCUAACUCCGUGCCAGCAGCCGCGGUAAUACGGGGGGUGCGUGCGUUAAUCGGAAUUACUGGGCGUAAAGCGCUCGUAGGCGGUAUGUCAAGUCACGGGUGAAAUCCCCGCGCUAAACGUGGGAACUGCCUUUUAAACUGGCAAACUGGAGUGUGUGAGAGGAUAGUGGAAUUCCAGGUGUAGGAGUGAAAGCCGUAGAUAUCUGGAGGAACAUCAGUGGCGAGGCGACUAUCUGGCACAUAACUGACGCUGAGGAGCGAAAGCGUGGGUAGCAAACAGGAUUAGAUACCCCUGUAGUC